rnacentral:rRNA from 1 species
GACGAACGCUGGCGGCGUGCUUAACACAUGCAAGUCGAACGGAAAGGCCCUUCUUUUGUGGGGUGCUCGAGUGGCGAACGGGUAAGUAACACGUGAGUAACCUGCCCUUGACUUUGGGAUAACUUCAGGAAACUGGGGCUAAUACCGGAUAGGAGCUCCUGCUGCCUGGUGGUGGUUGGAAAGUUUCGGCGGUUGGGGAUGGACUCGCGGCUUAUCAGCUUGUUGGUGGGGUAGUGGCUUACCAAGGCGUUGACGGGUAGCCGGCCUGAGAGGGUGACCGGCCACAUUGGGACUGAGAUACGGCCCAGACUCCUACGGGAGGCAGCAGUGGGGAAUAUUGCACAAUGGGCGGAAGCCUGAUGCAGCAACGCCGCGUGCGGGAUGACGGCCUUCGGGUUGUAAACCGCUUUCGCCUGUGACGAAGCGUGAGUGACGGUAAUGGGUAAAGAAGCACCGGCUAACUACGUG